rnacentral:rRNA from 1 species
CAGUCGCCGCGGGAAUACGAAGGGGGCUAGCGUUGCUCGGAAUUACUGGGCGUAAAGGGAGCGUAGGCGGGUCGUUUAGUCAGAGGUGAAAUCCCGGGGCUCAACCUCGGAACUGCCCUUGAUACUGGCGACCUUGAGGAUGGGAGAGGUAAGCGGAACUCCGAGUGUAGAGGUGAAAUUCGUAGAUAUUCGGAAGAACACCAGUGGCGAAGGCGGCUUACUGGCCCAUUACUGACGCUGAGGCUCGAAAGCGUGGGGAGCAAACAGGAUUAGAUACCCGUGUAGUCCCUGUCUCUUAUCA